ACACAAACCCAGGGGAAGGUAGAAAGGACCCUCUCACUAGUCAAGUGAAGCUGUACUUAGGAAAGGUCCAUAGCCACGAACGACAUAUGUAUCGAUCGAUCAACCAGAACUCUGCAGAGGUUUGCACUACCCACAAGAUCACCAUCAUUGACGCUGUACAUCGUCUAGGCUGAUGCCGAGCUGCCUUCCAACUAAACACGAUGCCACCCAACCACUCAGAACUGGGGCCAUGCCGGAGUACCACCGACAUGCUGAGACUGUGAGACGUUGUAUCGGGCCCCCAAGGUCACUGCGCUGUCUUAGGAGGGUGUGGGUCCCAUGCCCGUACCUCCCUACACUUUCCGCUAACAACCUAGUAGUAGUGGCACCGCCCUAGCUGGUCGUACAUCCGUCCCGUUCCAAGGCUAAGGCGAGUGGGAAUGCAAGGAUUCCUAAGACCCGGUCCACAGAACAUAUCAGUCCUUAAGUGACCGAAUAGGGCAACUUCACGUGGGGCCGGCCGAUGCCCCGCUCAACGGGACAUCCGGUCACGCCGUGCUAAACAGCACCUCCCAUCCCGGUGCUUCGUCCCACGAAGACACUCCACUCCAGGACCUCUCCGUGUCACAUGUGCCCGCCACAGGCAUCUCUCUUGGGGAGCGCCCAUGUAGCAUUCCGCGGCAAGACUCGUCCCAAGACUCAUCGUACAUUCCCGCUGUAACACCCAAAAUUUGCUUUCAAAUUAAUAGGAUUUAAUGAGAAUUAUUUAAGCAAUUUUUGUGGGCAUUUAAUCUAGUAAAUAAAAUAUUUUUGUCAAAAUUAAAAUUCAUUAUAAGUUUAGAAACAUGGUUGUGCAUUCAUGCUGGAAUUAAUUUAUAUAUUUACUUGCUUGCUUGCUUUUUGUCUAUGUAUUUUGUUUAUCUCCAAAAUGAUUUAAAAUCUCUUUUCAAAAAGACUUAAGAAAACGGAAAAGAAAAAGAAAAUAGAAAAGAAAAAGAAAAAAAGGAAAGACAAACCCAGCCAGUUCCCUUUCCCCGGCCCAGCUCUCCUCUCCCCCCCCUUCUCUUUUUCUUCCCCGCGCCCCGGCCCACUUCUUCCUUAUGCGGCCCAGCAAUCCGGCCCAGGCCGCACGCUCUCCUCUCCCCUCCUUUUCUCUUCAGCUCGCUGACACGCGGGGCCCGCAAGUCAGCGACUCCUCCCUUCUUCCUCCUGACGCCGAGUUCGACUGGAACUCUUCCAGGGGAAAUCGAUCCCGGUUUCCUCGGGAUCUCUUGCCAACCCGCGCGCUAUGCCCCUAUAAAGAUCCCAAAGCAAUCCCGCAGCUUCCUUUUCCCUUCCAAUUUGCCGGACUCGAGGCCUAGCCCUACCCGUCGCCGUUCCUCAGAUCCCGACGAACCGCACACUUUCCCCAACGCGGCGCGACUUCCCUGCUCCUUCUCGGCGCGAGCUAAGGGCCU
rnacentral:lncRNA from 1 species